GAUCCAAACAAGGCUCACCUCUGUCUUUUGAUGGUCCCUUCUGUUACAGUCCCCAUUAUUUUUCAAACUUUCAUUUCCAUGCUGUUAGUUUGUUGGAGACGACACCAGGUUAUUUACCUUGUAGAAGGUCCCACGUUCUGGAUGGGGCUGCUUGCAUCUUUGUGCUGCUGCUUAAUUUGUUCUUCUGUCCCCUGUAUUCCCUGUAAACUGGCCUUGACGAAUUUCAGGAUCAAAUUUUUUAAAGGCAAGAAUGUGUCUGAGCUGAUGCUGUGUAUUUUACAUUGCAUCCCCCUAGGAGGCACAUCUGUUUGGUCCUCCUACUUCUACUGAUAGAUCGGAGGGCUCAGAUGGCUAAGUGAGGGGGUCACCAUGACGAGAGGCAGAGGAGAUGGGAUUUGCAACUUCUCUGUCUUAUUCCAGAAUCUGUACUUUUAGCCAUUCCCCAAUCCUGCAGGAAAAACAAGUGCACCACGCUCAUAUCUUUUUCUCUGUUUCUGGACUCCCUUACACACCAUUCAUCCUUCCCCAGCAUGGAGGACAAGCACCACUAGUGGUAGGUCAGAUCCUGUAGUUAAAAUUGGGGAGGAAGAGGAGUUCCCAUUGUGGUGCAGGGGAAACGAAUCUGACUAAGAAUCAUGAGGUUGCGGGUUCAAUCCCUGGCCUUACUCACUGGGUUCAUUACUGCUGAGCCACAAUGGAACUCUCUUCUCUCCUUUACUUACAAGGAAUAUUUGUAGGGAGUCUAAGAGUUUAAUAGACCAUGACCCCUCACCAUGAGUCUAAGGCGAAAGGAUCACCACCAUAUUCACGGUCCCUUGGAUAGAAGACUCAGAGCCUGUAAAUGACUCGAGGAUCCCCCAUGACCCAGUGGCUGGGCCAGGACUGGAACCCAUGUCCCUGGAAAGCUGAGCAUCUUCCCCAUGACUCUCCCUCCGCCCCCAACCACACACACACACACAACACACAAGCUUUGCUUCGGACAAACAACAAGGGCUUGGGUGUCACUUUCUUCACAAUCCAGUGACUCAUCUUUCCAAGAACUGGGCUGAGAGUGCCAGUCAGUCCCUGUUGCUCUGCUUGUGGUCAGCCUCCUGUAGGAAAGGGUCAGUGGGCUGUUCAGGGUGAGAAAGAAUUUGAGGGGAGACCCCCUUUUCCUGUUCUUAUGAAAGCACUGGUACUGCCCGGCGGGGUCUCCUGGAUACACAUUCCUUGUUGUUAUUGCUGUUGAUGUGGUUUGUGGUUUUUGCCUUUUUAAAUUAAAGAGCAUAUUUUUUCCAAUCAGGAGUCAUAUGUGUGCCUUUUGAGACUAUUAGUGAAAUGGAAAAAAGCAUAAAGAAAAGAAAUCUCGUCUGGUCUCCUGCCACCUCAAACCAAAGUGAGGGCUUGGUGGGGUUCCUUUGUGCCUCCUGUGUGCCCCCCUCAGGGCGUCCUCCCCACACCUCUGUCCCUGGAGCUUCAUCAACAAGCCCUGAGACCUGUCAUAGGGCAGCGUUCAGCUAUGUGGGAGGCCUGGCAGAAGGAAAGACAGUGUGUUUGGGGAACUUAUUCCCCUAGUUCCCUCCCUGCAAGAUCACCUCUGCUGAAGGUCCCAGCCUCUUUCAAGACCCAGGAACCUAAGAAGACACUCUCUCCCUCCAGGCUCUGAUAACUAUCUCUAAUCUCCUUCCUUUGGGCCCAGGGUAGCAAGGCCCCAGCUACCGCACUGCUGGUUGUGUCCUCAUCUGCCCACACCUUUGUUUUUUGUUUUGUUUUGUUUUGUCUUUUUUGUCCUUUUCAGGGCCGCACCCGAGGCAUAUGGAGGUUCCCAGGCUAGGGGUCUAAUCGGAGCUGUAGCCACCAGCCUACGCCAGAGCCACAGCAACGCCAGAUCCGAGCCAUGUCUGUGACCUACACCACAGCUCACCGCAAUGCCGGAUCCUUAGCCCACUGAGCAAGGCCAGGGAUCGAACCUGCAACCUCAUGGUUCCUAGUUGGAUUCAUUUCCGAUGUGCCACAACGGGAACUCCUGCCCACACCUUUGUAAAUAAUCCCUCCCCAGGUUAUCCUGUUUUGCAUGUGCCAUUUAUUUUCUGUUGGGAACCGGAAUGAUGUACCUUCUGACUCAUUGGUAUUUCAAGACCUUUCCCUUGAAAGUCCCAUGGCCAUAUAUUUUCUGAGGUUUCCCAAGCAAUAUACAAAAUAGAGCUUGGAAUAAGCCUGGGAGACGUGGGGAAAGAAGGCUUUUAAUUUCCUGACUCUUUCCUGGUACCACCUCCCACCUGACCCUGCACAGAGCCCCACCAGGCCCACGAUAGUGGGUCAUGAUAUGCAUGAUUCCACAUCACCACCCACUCCUAAGCACCUGCAAUGGCUACGGCCCCUCCCCCUCUGUUAAAGCCACUCCUUUCAUCACUAGAAUUAUCUCCACAAGGUCCCACUUGGAAAGGAAGUUGUAGGAGAAGAGGAAUGAGUGUGGUUUGUUUGCCCCAAGGCCUUCGCUGGUAACACUACCUCAGACCCCCACUCCCUGCCUGGCUGAGUCUACCGGUCCCUCUUAUCUCAGCUUUUAUGGGGCCUCCCCCACAGAGACUUCCCUGAGCUCUCCACCUGCAGGGCUCCUACCACAAGCUCUUGUAACUCUCCUCACGAGGCCCAUGAGGGCAGUGUCCUGCUCACGCUUCUACCUGGCACCUGCCUUAACACCUGCCACAUAGUAGACACUCCAUAAAUGAGUUGAAUGUUGCAUAUCUGAGAUGUUCCUCAGUAUCAAGUUUUCCCAUUAGACUCAUUUUGAAGGACUGUAUCCAGUUGGAAGAAACCUUGCCCUGAAGGAACCAGCCAUUUCUUCCUUAUGUACUGUAUAGCUUAGAAGCCAUCCUCAUAGGCACUGAGGUGAUGGGACCCUCAACGGGUAUGUUUGUGGGGAGGUGGGGGUGGGGAAUAGAACAAAAAGUGGUCCUCUGCCAGAGACUUUUGUGGGGUUGUUGACAUGGGGGUGGCAGAGCAUGAAAGCAGAGCCACAGAGUAAGGAGGAAACUCUAUUCUAUCAUUUUCCCAAGAGCCAGGUAUAUGUAUAUAUUAUGUAUAUAUACAUACAGCCAGUGCUGCUGACAGUCCUAUGAAGAUAGACUUCAGAUGCAAUUUCAGUCCUCUGGGUUCACCUCUGAAUUUAUCUGCUAUAUUUAACAUUACCUCCUAAUGUGGGGCAAGGGGAGAUUUGUGCAUUAGUGAUGUAGGAUACAAAUAGUCUGGGUAGCAGAGAGAGUGAAACGUCUCAAUUAUACUUUAUGAUAUUAUUUUGACUUCUGAAUCAUAGGAAUUUUAUAAUACACUUAAAAAAUAAAAUUACAUUUGAAAAACCUUCCCUGUGAAGAGCAAUAACCCCCUUUUUUUUUUAACUUCAACUCACUUAGAUGGGGCAAAAGUCCUCACUGGCCACCUCGUCUAUCCUUUUACAGUUUCUGAUGGAAAAUAUGAUUUGUAAAUUGUUUC
rnacentral:lncRNA from 1 species